rnacentral:rRNA from 1 species
UACGUAGGGGGCAAGCGUUGUCCGGAGUUACUGGGCGUAAAGCGCACGCAGGCGGUCUUUUAAGUUUGGAGUGACAGUUGGUGGCUUAACUGCCAAAGUGCUUCGAAAACUGACAGACUUGAGGGCUUCAGAGGGACACGGAAUUCCGGGUGGAGUGGUGAAAUGCGUAGAGAUCCGGAGGAACACCUGUGGAGAAAGCGGCUCACUGGACCAUAACUGACGCUGAUGCACGAAAGCUAGGGGAGCAAACAGG